rnacentral:lncRNA from 1 species
GCCGCCUGGAAGUUCUGACAGUGCCCUGAAGCCCAUUUGUCAUCUAAAUGGUCCGUCCCCUUCUUAAACAUCAUUUUGGCCCACGGUCCAUUCAUGGGGCCUGCCGGGUGUUCCUGGGAAGAUGGGCAGAAAAUCCCAAGGAACCCAGGGCUGUUCUGUCAAGGUUCAGCUGCAGGACCAGAGCCCCUUCCACCUAACCCCCACUCCUAUCCUGAUGCUUCCUGAGGCACAUCUGCUGUGGUUUCUCACCAGAGAACAGUCUGCAAAAUCACUGCACCUUGUCCAACUCCAUUUUCCAACUGAGAAGACCUGGCCCAGAGAAGUGCACAGACUUGAGGGAAGUAACACAGCAAUCAGACAGACAGACAUCCCCAGAUAUACCUGCUAUGGUCCUGGGAGAAAAUAGAGACCCAUCCCCAAAUACCAUCAUCCUCAUCAUUCUCUGUAGCCCAAUCAAAUGAUGCUCCAGGCCUGAGAUUUUAUCCAAUGAACACUCUGUACAUCUUUAAAAGAGAUAUGUACUUGUCUUAUUCCUCCUUUCCUUUCUUUAAAAAAAAAAAAACACAGGCCCCAGAUCCAGUCAUUCUAAAUAGGAAGGAAAAACAUAACCCAUUGAGACAAUGGAUGCUGUUUCUCUCCCUGCUCUGUGACUUUAGUUUGCCUUUAAAGCCCAUUUUCACCAUUUAUUGAUUUUAGUUUUCUACUUGUCUAUGAAUGACAACUUGAAUUAAGACAACGCAGGCUGAAAAGCCGCUAGGCAGUGCUAAAUGGACAAGCUACACUUCGUGGCAGGAUGUCUCAUGACCGUGCCGCCUUCUGCCUAGCCCCAUUCUCUGGAGGAGCUGUGGGCAGACCGACCCCCGCCUGGCCGCCUGGCAUGGGGACUGGUUGCGUCAGAUCGGAGCUCUGAGAUAAGGGUGGGCCAGGGCAUGAUCAUCACCACUGCCAGCCUCGAAGCCUCUUUGCUGACCUGGAGGUGAUUUGUGUAUCAAAGGGGGCUGUGUCAUUCAACAGCACUUCCAGAAGAGGCCAAAGAUCUGUCUCUACUUCAGCCUCCACUGGGCAGAAAACUAAGCCUAUUUGCUCUAGGCCCUUCAGACUUGCACUUGGAGAAAGAAAACUCACUGAGUCAGCCCUUAUGUAACUCCACUCUCCUCUCUUCCAAACCUCCUUGCUUUGGACAAAUAUUUGACAGAAAAUGCCCUUUUGCAAUGCCUUAAAAGUUACAAAAAUGGUGCACCC